CAGGAACCAGCUACUAGAUGGUUCGAUUAGUCUUUCGCCCCUAUACCCAAAUUUGACGAUCGAUUUGCACGUCAGAACCGCUGCGAGCCUCCACCAGAGUUUCCUCUGGCUUCACCCUAUUCAGGCAUAGUUCACCAUCUUUCGGGUCCCAACAGCUAUGCUCAUACUCAAAUCCAUCCGAAGACAUCAGGAUCGGUCGAUGGUGCACCCGUGAGGGUUCCCACCUCCGUUCACUUUCAUUACGCGUAUGGGUUUGACACCCAAACACUCGCAUAGAUGUUAGACUCCUUGGUCCGUGUUUCAAGACGGGCCGCUUACAGCCAUUACGCCAGCAUCCUAGCCGAAGCGAGAUCCUCAGUCCAGGCUGGCCGCAUUCCACCCCGGGCUAUAACACUCCCCGAGAGGAGCUACAUUCCCGAGGUCUUUAUCCGACCGCCCGAACUGAUGCUGGCCUGGCCGCAGAAGAGUACGCCGGUCAGGAGACCGGCUGAGCAACUGCGGACAAGUCUGGCUGCAAGCGCUUCCCUUUCAACAAUUUCACGUACUUUUUAACUCUCUUUCCAAAGUGCUUUUCAUCUUUCGAUCACUCUACUUGUGCGCUAUCGGUCUCUGGCCGGUAUUUAGCUUUAGAAGAAAUUUACCUCCCAUUUAGAGCUGCAUUCCCAAACAACUCGACUCGUCGAAGGAGAUUCACAUGGCUAAGGCAACCCAUCACAUACGGGAUUCUCACCCUCUAUGACGCCCCGUUCCAGGGGACUUAGACGGGAGCCCUCGCCGAAUCAUCCUCUACAAAUUACAACGCGGACCCCAAAGGGGCCAGCUUUCAAAUUUGAGCUAUUGCCGCUUCACUCGCCGUUACUAAAGCAAUCCCAGUUGGUUUCUUUUCCUCCGCUUAUUG
rnacentral:rRNA from 1 species